UACAGAGGUCUCAAGCGUUGUUCGGAUUCAUUGGGCGUAAAGGGUGCGUAGGCGGCGCGGUAAGUCGGGUGUGAAAUCUUGGAGCUUAACUCCGAAACUGCAUUCGAUACUGCCGUGCUUGAGGACUGGAGAGGAGACUGGAAUUUACGGUGUAGCGGUGAAAUGCGUAGAUAUCGUAAGGAAUACCUAUGGCGAAAGCAGGCUACUGGACCGUCACUGACUCUGAUCUGCGAAAGCUAGGGGAGCAAACAGG
rnacentral:rRNA from 1 species